rnacentral:rRNA from 1 species
GGUUAAGCGACUAAGCGUACACGGUGGAUGCCCUGGCAGUCAGAGGCGAUGAAGGACGUGCUAAUCUGCGAUAAGCGUCGGUAAGGUGAUAUGAACCGUUAUAACCGGCGAUUUCCGAAUGGGGAAACCCAGUGUGUUUCGACACACUAUCAUUAACUGAAUCCAUAGGUUAAUGAGGCGAACCGGGGGAACUGAAACAUCUAAGUACCCCGAGGAAAAGAAAUCAACCGAGAUUCCCCCAGUAGCGGCGAGCGAACGGGGAGCAGCCCAGAGCCUGAAUCAGUGUGUGUGUUAGUGGAAGCGUCUGGAAAGGCGCGCGAUACAGGGUGACAGCCCCGUACACAAAAAUGCACAUGCUGUGAGCUCGAUGAGUAGGGCGGGACACGUGGUAUCCUGUCUGAAUAUGGGGGGACCAUCCUCCAAGGCUAAAUACUCCUGACUGACCGAUAGUGAACCAGUACCGUGAGGGAAAGGCGAAAAGAACCCCGGCGAGGGGAGUGAAAAAGAACCUGAAACCGUGUACGUACAAGCAGUGGGAGCACGCUUAGGCGUGUGACUGCGUACCUUUUGUAUAAUGGGUCAGCGACUUAUAUUCUGUAGCAAGGUUAACCGAAUAGGGGAGCCGAAGGGAAACCGAGUCUUAACUGGGCGUUAAGUUGCAGGGUAUAGACCCGAAACCCGGUGAUCUAGCCAUGGGCAGGUUGAAGGUUGGGUAACACUAACUGGAGGACCGAACCGACUAAUGUUGAAAAAUUAGCGGAUGACUUGUGGCUGGGGGUGAAAGGCCAAUCAAACCGGGAGAUAGCUGGUUCUCCCCGAAAGCUAUUUAGGUAGCGCCUCGUGAAUUCAUCUCCGGGGGUAGAGCACUGUUUCGGCAAGGGGGUCAUCCCGACUUACCAACCCGAUGCAAACUGCGAAUACCGGAGAAUGUUAUCACGGGAGACACACGGCGGGUGCUAACGUCCGUCGUGAAGAGGGAAACAACCCAGACCGCCAGCUAAGGUCCCAAAGUCAUGGUUAAGUGGGAAACGAUGUGGGAAGGCCCAGACAGCCAGGAUGUUGGCUUAGAAGCAGCCAUCAUUUAAAGAAAGCGUAAUAGCUCACUGGUCGAGUCGGCCUGCGCGGAAGAUGUAACGGGGCUAAACCAUGCACCGAAGCUGCGGCAGCGACGCUUAUGCGUUGUUGGGUAGGGGAGCGUUCUGUAAGCCUGUGAAGGUGUGCUGUGAGGCAUGCUGGAGGUAUCAGAAGUGCGAAUGCUGACAUAAGUAACGAUAAAGCGGGUGAAAAGCCCGCUCGCCGGAAGACCAAGGGUUCCUGUCCAACGUUAAUCGGGGCAGGGUGAGUCGACCCCUAAGGCGAGGCCGAAAGGCGUAGUCGAUGGGAAACAGGUUAAUAUUCCUGUACUUGGUGUUACUGCGAAGGGGGGACGGAGAAGGCUAUGUUGGCCGGGCGACGGUUGUCCCGGUUUAAGCGUGUAGGCUGGUUUUCCAGGCAAAUCCGGAAAAUCAAGGCUGAGGCGUGAUGACGAGGCACUACGGUGCUGAAGCAACAAAUGCCCUGCUUCCAGGAAAAGCCUCUAAGCAUCAGGUAACAUCAAAUCGUACCCCAAACCGACACAGGUGGUCAGGUAGAGAAUACCAAGGCGCUUGAGAGAACUCGGGUGAAGGAACUAGGCAAAAUGGUGCCGUAACUUCGGGAGAAGGCACGCUGAUAUGUAGGUGAAGUCCCUUGCGGAUGGAGCUGAAAUCAGUCGAAGAUACCAGCUGGCUGCAACUGUUUAUUAAAAACACAGCACUGUGCAAACACGAAAGUGGACGUAUACGGUGUGACGCCUGCCCGGUGCCGGAAGGUUAAUUGAUGGGGUCAGCGCAAGCGAAGCUCUUGAUCGAAGCCCCGGUAAACGGCGGCCGUAACUAUAACGGUCCUAAGGUAGCGAAAUUCCUUGUCGGGUAAGUUCCGACCUGCACGAAUGGCGUAAUGAUGGCCAGGCUGUCUCCACCCGAGACUCAGUGAAAUUGAACUCGCUGUGAAGAUGCAGUGUACCCGCGGCAAGACGGAAAGACCCCGUGAACCUUUACUAUAGCUUGACACUGAACAUUGAGCCUUGAUGUGUAGGAUAGGUGGGAGGCUUGGAAGUGUGGACGCCAGUCUGCAUGGAGCCGACCUUGAAAUACCACCCUUUAAUGUUUGAUGUUCUAACGUUGACCCGUAAUCCGGGUUGCGGACAGUGUCUGGUGGGUAGUUUGACUGGGGCGGUCUCCUCCUAAAGAGUAACGGAGGAGCACGAAGGUUGGCUAAUCCUGGUCGGACAUCAGGAGGUUAGUGCAAUGGCAUAAGCCAGCUUGACUGCGAGCGUGACGGCGCGAGCAGGUGCGAAAGCAGGUCAUAGUGAUCCGGUGGUUCUGAAUGGAAGGGCCAUCGCUCAACGGAUAAAAGGUACUCCGGGGAUAACAGGCUGAUACCGCCCAAGAGUUCAUAUCGACGGCGGUGUUUGGCACCUCGAUGUCGGCUCAUCACAUCCUGGGGCUGAAGUAGGUCCCAAGGGUAUGGCUGUUCGCCAUUUAAAGUGGUACGCGAGCUGGGUUUAGAACGUCGUGAGACAGUUCGGUCCCUAUCUGCCGUGGGCGCUGGAGAACUGAGGGGGGCUGCUCCUAGUACGAGAGGACCGGAGUGGACGCAUCACUGGUGUUCGGGUUGUCAUGCCAAUGGCACUGCCCGGUAGCUAAAUGCGGAAGAGAUAAGUGCUGAAAGCAUCUAAGCACGAAACUUGCCCCGAGAUGAGUUCUCCCUGACUCCUUGAGAGUCCUGAAGGAACGUUGAAGACGACGACGUUGAUAGGCCGGGUGUGUAAGCGCAGCGAUGCGUUGAGCUAACCGGUACUAAUGAACCGUGAGGCUUAACCUU